AUUUCGGAGCUGCGACUUGUGCUGGACAGUCGCGUGGCGGUAGGGUCAGGGGGAGGGGGAGGACCUGCCCAACACCCCAACACACACCCACCACGCCCGCCCGCUGUCAUCAUUUACAUCAAAACUGACGUUACCCUGGGAGAUAUUCAGGCUAACUUCAAAGCUAACUGGAAGUGCCUGAACUGCGUAGUACCACGCGACGUUUCCAGUUCCGUCAAUAACUUCCUCAACGUCGGAGUGAAGGAGAUAGGGGCGAAAUACAGGGAUGAAAUAAACUAUUUCGUCGCAGAAGGCUUCUGGGAAAUCCUCAGCAGAUGGUUCACUAUAAUACGACCA
rnacentral:lncRNA from 1 species